GAGAGGAGGCCGAGUGCGAGGAUCAUCAAGUGUUGAUAUUCAACAUUAAGAUAUGCGUGAGGGAGGAGAGGGAGGCAGGCGCACCACAACCGAAAAUGGAGGAUACAAGUCACUAGAAGAACAACUUGUGUGCUAGGGGCAGCCAACGACAAGAAUGAUAUGCCCAGGUGUGCAAGGGGUGGUGAAUCAAUGAUCAUGAAGAACCUGCGUGCAUGGGAGGAUUGUUUGCCACAUGUGGAGUUCGCUUAAUUAUAACAGGGCGGUACAUUCUGCAACGUAACUUUCACUACUACAAAAUACCCCUUCCAUGAACCCUCACCAGUGGCGGUUAUUUCCAUUCAAAAAAUCAUCGCCACUGGUGAGGUCACGAGUGGCGGUCAUUCUCAUUCAAAAAAUCAC
rnacentral:lncRNA from 1 species